AAGGGAGAGGAAUACGUAGAAAUCUACCCCUGAGACCGGGAUAGCGUCGGGAAACUGGCAGUAAUACCGGAUAAUGUCUUAGGACCAAAGGUGUGAUUCCACUUGGGGAUGAGUCUACGCCCUAUUAGCUAGUUGGUGGGGUAAUGGCCUGCCAAGGCGAUGAUGGGUAGCGGGUGUGAGAGCAUGAUCCGCCUCACUGGGACUGAGAACUGCCCAGACACCUACGGGUGGCUGCAGUCGAGAAUCUUUGUCAAUGGACGAAAGUCUGAACAAGCGACGCCGCGUGCGGGAUGAAGGCCUUCGGGUUGUAAACCGCUGUCGUAGGGGAACAAAUGUACGGGGGUUCUCCCCUGUAUUUGAGUGAUCCUAGGAGGAAGGAGAGGCUAAGCUCGUGCCAGCAGCCGCGGUAAGACGAGCUCUCCAAACGUUAUUCGGUAUCACUGGGCUUAAAGAGUUCGUAGGCGGCCUAGCAGGUCAGGUGUGAAAUCCCACAGCUCAACUGUGGAAUAGCGCUUGAAACCGUUAGGCUUGAGGGAGAUAGAGGUAGGCGGAACAGAUGGUGGAGCGGUGAAAUGCGUUGA
rnacentral:rRNA from 1 species